GACGAACGCUGGCGGCGUGCUUAACACAUGCAAGUCGAACGGAAAGGCCUCUCUCGGGGGGUACUCGAGUGGCGAAAGGGUGAGUAACACGUGAGUAUACUGCCCUUGACUUUGGGAGAACUUCAGGAAACUGGGGCUAAUACCGGAUAGGAGCUCCUGCUGCAUGGUGGGGGUUGGAGAGUUUCGGCGGUUGGGGGUGGACUCGCGGCUUAUCAGCUUGUUGGGGGGGGAGUGGCUUACCCAGGAUUUGACGGGUAGCCGGCCUGAGAGGGGGAACGGGAGCAUUGGGACUGAGAUCCGGCCCAGACUCCUACGGGAGGCAGCAGUGGGGAAUAUUGCACAAUGGGUGGAAGCCUGAUGCAGCAACGCCGUGUGCGGGAUGACGGCCUUCGGGUUGUAAACCGCUUUCGCUCAUGACGGAGCUUUGUGUGACGGUAGUGGGUAAAGAAGCACCGGCUAACUACGUG
rnacentral:rRNA from 1 species